rnacentral:lncRNA from 1 species
GAAGUCUUGUGGUGUUCGUAACGCAUUUACACUGCGAAGCGCUCUGACCUUAGACCGAGCAAUUAAUCACCAAUAAAAAGAAAAAAAAAAUAGUAGUGAAUAAAAUAGAAGGGUGUGGACAUUCUUUGGGACCUUGGCUUUUAGUUGGACUUGAGUGACGGGGUGUUAGUUUUAAACUUUUACGAUUCUUGAUUGGGAUUCUGUGGGAGUAGUAG